GGACAUAGGGCUCGAACUCACGAACUCAGAGAACAUGACCUGAGCCCAAGUCAGAUGCUCCACCAGCCAAGCUACCCAGGUGCACCCCCCCCCCCAGUAAUUCUCAAACCCAAAGCCAGUCUCUAGUUGAAAUUCACCCAUGAUCUGUCAAACUGAGUUGCUUCCCAAUAAACUUGUCAUUAAAUGUAAUUAAUAUGUGAUACGAACUGUGAAGCCAAAAAGAAUUUCAUCAAUGACAUGAGCAACUUCUUGGCCAAAUUGGAUCAUGGUUUUCCCAUAGGGCACAAGUAGAGUUUUUCCUCCAUGUUUUCUGCCGGUUACAAUGUAAAGGAUACAGAGUUGACACAUUUUUGUCAAAAUUUUGGCAACAUUUUAAAUUAAACUACAUUGUUAAUUUUAUCCAUUACUUUCUGAAGUCUAGACUAGAGGUUGGGAGAGUUUUCCCCGAAGGGUCAAAUGGGAAAUAUUUUAGGCUUUGCCAGACACAUGUAGUGUCUGUCACAUAUUUUUUCUUUUGUUUUGUUUUUUUUUUUACCACCCUUUCAAAACAUGAAAGCUGUUCUUAGCUCCAGCAAAGGCCAGAUUCAACCUUCCAGCUCUGAACUGUAGCAUGUUCAGAUUUGCACAAUAUAAAUGUUUCUCUGAUGGCUGAUUUCAAGCGGCCAAUGUGGGGUGCCUGAACCAACAUGGAGUGUCAGAAUGAGGCUUGGGAACCCUCUUUCCAGCAUAUGGAUCCAAUAAAUGGAAGUAACCCAAGGCACGUAGGUCACGGUAGGGCAAUUGAGAAGUAACGUGUUUUGAGACCUUGUUAUCAAGAGUACUGAUUUCACUGUAAACUUCUAUAAUUUAAUUUUUGACAGUGUCUGUUUAACCGCGAGCCCACAGAAUUCCUGAAAAUUUAACAUUUGAUUCUCUUGCCCCAGCUCCGGCUCGCAGGGGUGUCACCUCCAAGUGGAGAUGGGGUUGUGUAAGCUAGGCUUCUGGGUUGGUCCUGGAUGUUCAGUUUCUUCCCCUGGGUUCCACUUAGGCGCCCCCCAAGGUGACCCCCGGCGAGUCAGUGCCCUGUAUCAUCCCCUCCCCCUGAGUCUGAGCCCGACCCAUCAUGUACUUCUGACCAGCAGAGUUUGCUGAGUGGGGUAGGCCCUCAUUCCCUUGACUGUGUCCCUUCACAUGUGAAGGAUGAUGGAUGUCACACCCAUCACGCCCACGAUCCCAUGAUGUCUGGAGACACAGUCUCCUGCCGGCCUUGCAGGAGCCACAGCCAUGUGAACAGCCCUUGGAGAAGGCACCGUGGCACGGGACGGUGGGCGGCGUCCAGGACCUGAGGGUGGCCUCCAGCCAAUCGCCAGAAAGAAGCUGGGGCCUUCGGUCGUGUGUCCAUGAGGACACGCGUGUGCCAGCAGCCUGAAUGAGCCGGAAAGAGUGGAGCCUCCAGACGAGAGCAAAGCCCAGCCCCCACCUGGAUUACGCGGGAGACCCUGAGCCGGUCGCUCUGCCCACCCCUGACUCCUGCCCUGGGGAACCUGAGGUAUGGCGCAGACAACGGGAAGGAUGGGGGACACAUAGCAUCAUCACACUGGGAGAUCAAUAUGCCGUCUCAACCCAAGAGGGCAGAUGCUCUGCUUGCCGAAAUAACAAACCUGAGAAACAGAUGAUGUGGCUUGAUCUGUCACCAACCAGGCCUGCUCACUCCUUGAAGGUUAACAGAAUAAAAUGACUGGAAAUUAGUCUGGCCUAACACACGCUGUCAAAUAGCAGGGAAAUCCUACGAGGACAGUGAAAAAAACAUACUUCUGCAGCCUUGCCAUUUGAUGCCACAUUGCAGAGCGAUCCCCUGUGAAGUGACUUCCGUCCAGGGCCACAAAACAAAACCAUCUAACCUUAAUCAUCACACCUUCCACCUUACGAGACGUUGGUUGUAAAUCUCCUUCAGGGCCUAUAUUUGCUGCUGUUGGCAGGGUAAGAAAACGCUCGCCAGGGAGGAUUUCAAACCUGGAAGCGAAUGUGUCAGCUCGCUUCCAACUCAACAGCUGGUUGCUCAUUCUCUAUGGCAGUGAUAGACGUAAAAGAGGGAGCAGCAUUAGGUCUUACAGAUUUCAUCUUUUCAGUCACCGUAAACUUCGUCAGACUGUCUCAGCCAGCUUGUUUUUUUCCUUUGAAGCCUUAACAGGAUAAACCGUAGAGGGGAAAUCCGAUCGGCAGGUAUUGCACAGCCGAGGGACGCCGGGCCGUGCACUUUUCACACGCAUCUCGUGGCCUCCCCACACCACGUCAUCCGCAAGCCGGGCCUCGUGUGCCCCUGUUUUAGGGCAGCUGGGAUUGCAGAACUGAAAGCACCAGUUUCCAGUGAGAGCCUCCGAGAAGGACAGACAGAGAAGAGUUUCCAGGAGGGGUGGCCCAGCCAGCCCCGAUACGCCUUCUCCUCUAAAAUUUCCUCUUUCUACCCCUUUCCUACGCCUGGAGUCACUCCUCGUGUGAUCCACUGUCUGCUUCUCUCACUGAGCACAAGGUUUGGGGUUCAUCUGUAUUGUUGCACGUAUCCGCUACCUGUCCCUGCUCGUGCGGAGCAUACUUGAUUGUACGAAAAUACCGUUUUCUUUUCAGUGAGCCCACUAGAUGAUAGACAUACGGAUCGUUUCCAGCUUGGGUUUUAUGAAUAAUUCUGCUCUAAACAUUCA